GUCGGCGAGGGCCGCGGCGUAGCUGGAGGCUGCGGUAGCUGACAUUCUGGCUCCCGUGGCGCCGGUGGAGCGGCGGGUGGCGGCGGCGGCGGUGGUGGUGGUGGUAACGCCGAAUUUGAGCUUGAGGGGGGUGAAGGUGGUACCAUGGAGGGAGAGGUUGAGGAUGGGUUUCUGGGAGAGGGUAUUUCGGGGGAUUAGGAUGUGUUUGGAUUGGAGGGAAGCUGUGGGGUGCUGCAAAGACGCCAUUUUUCGGAAUGAGGAAGAAUGAGUCUUGUGUUGUGGUGUCUCUUUUUCUUUUCUUUUCUUUUCACUUGGUGUUAAACAAGAGGCUG
rnacentral:lncRNA from 1 species